UACGAAGGGGGCUAGCGUUGCUCGGAAUCACUGGGCGUACAGGGUGCGUAGGCGGGUCUUUACGUCAGGGGUGAAAUCCUGGAGCUCAACUCCAGAACUGCCUUUGAUACUGAGGAUCUUGAGUUCGGGAGAGGUGAGUGGAACUGCGAGUGUAGAGGUGAAAUUCGUAGAUAUUCGCAAGAACACCAGUGGCGAAGGCGGCUCACUGGCCCGAUACUGACGCUGAGGCACGAAAGCGUGGGGAGCAAACAGG
rnacentral:rRNA from 1 species